rnacentral:rRNA from 1 species
UGACCUCAAAUCGGGUGAGACACCCGC